rnacentral:rRNA from 1 species
GCCUGCAUGAAGUCGGAAUUGCUAGUAAUCGCAGAUCAGCAUGCUGCGGUGAAUACGUUCCCGGGCCUUGUACACACCGCCCGUCACACCAUGGGAGUCGGUAACACCCGAAGUCGGUAGCCUAACCGUAAGGAGGGCGCCGCCGAAGGUGGGAUUGAUGACUGGGUGAAGUCGUAACAAGGUAUC